GAGAUACCACAAAGGAGAGAAAAUUAGCACUCCCCUUGUUAAAGAUGGAAGAGGUCCUACUGCUCUUUAUAACACAUAUACAGUUAAGGCAGGCCUGCACAACAUACAGCCCAUGGACCACUUUGG
ensembl:snRNA